GAUGCAACAACAGCAAUCUGGGUCCACCGUUAACCUCAACGGCACCCGACAGUCCGGAAUAGCCUAAACACUGCUGUAAAAAUAAGCUCGGCAUCUCAGCCAAAGCGUAAAUACAUUCUACACUAUCUAGGGUAUCCACCGCCUACAAACUACAGUGAUACAAACAAACUACGGCUCCUAGAGCUAAAUCUGGUAGUUUUAACAUAUGACAGUGUAGAA
rnacentral:lncRNA from 1 species